rnacentral:rRNA from 1 species
UACGGAGGGUGCAAACGUUGCUCGGAAUCAUUGGGCGUAAAGCGCACGUAGGCGGCUAGAUAAGUCGGGUGUGAAAGCCCUGGGCUCAACCCAGGAAGUGCAUUCGAAACUGUCUAGCUUGAAUCUCGGAGGGGGUCAGAGAAUUCCCGGUGUAGAGGUGAAAUUCGUAGAUAUCGGGGAGGAAUACCAGUGGCGAAGGCGCUGACCUGGGACGAAGAUUGACGCUGAGGUGCGAAAAGCGCGGGGAGCAAACAGG